CAUUUUUAAGAGAAAAGGACAUAAAUGGUCCCUUAACUAUGAGAGUAGGUUCAAAAUAGUCCCUUAACUAUGCACUUAACGGUUUUGGUCCUUUAAUUUAACAAAAGUUAACAGUUUUAGUCUCCGACAAACUAUUCAUCAAACUCUGUUUGUUAGAUUUGACGAGAACUGUAAAAAAAAGGAAAAAAUUAGCGAGAACUCACAUCUAGAGGUACACAUUAUUAAAGAAACGGUCAAAUACCUCAGGAUGAAAUCGACGGACAUCAGUCGGUUAUAGGAAAAAACCUACAGACUUGAUAAUGUCUGGAAGUGGUGUCUCGAAACACAAAGACCGACGGACUCUGUCGAUUAAAACCGAGGGAAUCCACCGGCUAAAUAAAAUACACUAGACUUUACAAAUAAAUUAGAAAUAGCAGAAACUAAAAAAGUUGUCACUACCAAAAACAAGCGAAAAACGAUGGACGGAAACCGAUGGAUAAAAUCGAGGGACACUAUUUUUUUAAUUUUUAUUAUUUUUUACGAAAACCAACGGAAGUCCAUCAUUUAUUUUUGAGGAAAAAUGCGCGGAAACUAUUU